rnacentral:rRNA from 1 species
UGGGGAAUCUUGCGCAAUGCGCGAAAGCGUGACGCAGCAACGCCGCGUGAGGGAAGACGGCCUUCGGGUUGUAAACCUCUUUCAGUUGGGACGAAGCCUCGGCGGUUAAUACCCGUCUGAGGUGACGGUACCUUCAGAAGAAGCCCCGGCUAACUACGUGCCAGCAGCCGCGGUAAUACGUAGGGGGCAAGCGUUGUCCGGAAUCAUUGGGCGUAAAGCGCGUGUAGGCGGCUUGGUAAGUCCGCUCUGAAAGCCCGGGGCUCAACCCCGGGAGGCGGGUGGAUACUGUCAAGCUCGAGUCCGGAAGAGGCGAGUGGAAUUCCUGGUGUAGCGGUGAAAUGCGCAGAUAUCAGGAGGAACACCAAUGGCGAAGGCAGCUCGCUGGGACGUGACUGACGCUGAGACGCGAAAGCGUGGGGAGCAAACA